AUUGAACGCUGGCGGCAGGCCUAACACAUGCAAGUCGAGCGGAUGAAGGGAGCUUGCUCCUGGAUUCAGCGGCGGACGGGUGAGUAAUGCCUAGGAAUCUGCCUGGUAGUGGGGGAUAACGUCCGGAAACGGGCGCUAAUACCGCAUACGUCCUGAGGGAGAAAGUGGGGGAUCUUCGGACCUCACGCUAUCAGAUGAGCCUAGGUCGGAUUAGCUAGUUGGUGGGGUAAAGGCCUACCAAGGCGACGAUCCGUAACUGGUCUGAGAGGAUGAUCAGUCACACUGGAACUGAGACACGGUCCAGACUCCUACGGGAGGCAGCAGUGGGGAAUAUUGGACAAUGGGCGAAAGCCUGAUCCAGCCAUGCCGCGUGUGUGAAGAAGGUCUUCGGAUUGUAAAGCACUUUAAGUUGGGAGGAAGGGCAGCAAGUUAAUACCUUGCUGUUUUGACGUUACCAACAGGAUAAGCACCGGCUAACUUCGUG
rnacentral:rRNA from 1 species